rnacentral:rRNA from 1 species
UAGGGAAUUUUCCACAAUGGGGGCAACCCUGAUGGAGCAACGCCGCGUGAUGGAUGAAGGCUUUCGGGUCGUAAACAUCUUUUCUCUGUGACGAAUAUGACGGUAGCAGAGGAAUAAGGGUCGGCUAACUACGUGCCAGCAGCCGCGGUCAUACGUAGGACCCAAGCGUUAUCCGGAUUUACUGGGCGUAAAGAGUUGCGUAGGUGGUUUGUUAAGCAAAUAGUGAAAUCGUCUCGCUCAACGGGACUCCCAUUAUUUGAACUGGCAGACUUGAGAGUGAGAGAGGUACCUGGAAUUCCCUGUGUAGGAGUGAAAUCCGUAGAUAUAGGGAGGAACACCGAUGGCGUAGGCAGGGUACUGGCUCAUUUCUGACACUAAGGCACGAAAGCGUGGGGAGCAAACGGG